GGAAUAUCUUGCUACAGGAACUCAGCUGAUUCAUGUGGCACAGCUGAUUUCCGCACCUCUGCUCUUCUACUCACCAGGGCUGCUUUAGAAGAUACUUAAGAGCAAGCACAAGAAAAGAAGAAAAAUAUUGGAGUGAAGAAAGGGGGAAAAAAGAUUUAUGACCUUAUAAAACUGAACAAGAAUUUUCAAAGUAAUAUUAGAUUAAUAGUGAAUAUAUAUGGGAUCUACUUUCAAUUUAACAGUAUAAAACCAUGGUUCAAAUCAAAUCAAUCAGCACAAGCAGCCAAUAUAAUAAGAAACACCAAACAGGACAAUUAAUAACACUAUAUAAUCUUAUAAGGACUGUGAUAAUUAAAACAAAUCAGGCAAAAAUCUUGUAUUUUAAAGCCUUACAUAGUUUUAUGUUCUUAGCUAUUCUCAAAUGACAUAAAGCGCAUUGUAGCACUGCCUACUACGCCUCAUUUUUUUUUUUUUGCUCUGAGUAACAAUUAGACGAUGAAUAAGAUUCUAUAUGUUUUAUAACAUGCUUUUCAGGGGAAUGGAUUUCUUUCACAUUUUGUCAGAAUGUGACAUUUCUUUGCAAGCAAAGCAAAACUAAGAGACUACUCUGCAGCUAAUAUCGAAACCUUUUUUUAUUAUCGUCUUGAUUUGGCUUGCCUGAACCACAACAUUUUUCUAAUCAUAACUUUUGUGUGUUAACAUUACCAAAAAUUGACAGACAAAGCACUAUUCUUGUCAAUUUAAAAAGUGUUUGAAACACUUUAUGUUAUUUAGAGCAAUGGAUGAAUGGAUUUUAAUAGCAACUUUCCAACUACACUCACAAUUACUGUCAUUACGCUAAGUGCUUGAUGUCCCACUGUGCAGUUUUGCUUACUGCUUUUUUACCUUCUUCCAUGCACACUUUUAGCCACUGACUGUACAGCCUUUCAGUGUUUUCUGCCUUUUCCUUUAAAUAAACUGGCUCUGGCUCCCUCCAUCUGGUUCCCCUUCCGUCAGCAACCCUGCACCUGUUCACACCUCCUCUCCUGUUGGAUUCCACUGAACAUUUCCUCCUCUGCCAGGGCUAUUCUGGCACUCACAACCUUUCUGUCAUUCAAUCCAUCUGUCAGAAGUGAACUUUGUUUACUGCAAGCUUCUGCUUUCUUCUUCAAGAUGCAAAGCCCCUCAAGGUCAUUGUCAAAAGAACUGUCGGCAGAGAUUUAAUCCUUAGUAAGAGACAAAGCUGGACAGUUAUGCAUUAUAAUUUUUUCCCCUAAUAAUGUUGAAGACAAUAACGGAAGAGAACUAUAAUCUAAAAAAUCCUCAAAGAUCAAAUUCAUCUUCUUUCUGUAAAAUCUUGUACUGUGAGCAUUAUUUAUUUAGCGAGUUUAGCUAAACAAAAGGGAAAUGUGACAAACUAUGUAGAAGAGAAAAUGCAAUUUCAGAGAAGACUAAGAUGUAUAGUGGACUAAGGAAAAAUAAGGACAAAAUUAUUAAUCAUUUUUUUAAAAGAGAACAAAGCAGUAUUCAUUAACCAAAUGCUGAUUUUAAUGUUCCCUUUAAGCUGCAACAUAGCUAUAUUUAAACUGUCAUUCAUCUAUGACUAAGUAUCACAUU